rnacentral:lncRNA from 12 species
GUGCUUACAGCUAAAGACAGUGCGGCUUCAGUGAUAACUCAGCUAAUAGUCUGUGGCCUCUGCUAUCCCCUUCCCUGGCAUUUCCCUGAUGAGUGCAGAAAUCCCUAUGGAAUCAUGGCCUCCAUCUCUUUAAUGAGGAUUUAAAAUACCCAGGGAAAUUAUAUGGACAGAUAAAGUUAGCUUAUAUAUAUACCUCCCAAAGGUUUCUCCUCCCUGAAGUGAGGUAAUAUCAUUUGAUAGACCUUGGAGUUGAGUUUCAUGUGAGUUGACUGUGUCACAUGGUUGAGUUAAUUUCCCAAGUAACAAAGGAAUAUUAAAAGCAGAUUCUUUUAUUGGUGGUCUUCCCUGAUCUGAUGGGAAACAGAAAUUCAAAUAUUCUUUUUUUUUUUCUAGUAAAGAAUGGAGUGGAAUGGGAGAGCUUGGCCUUCAUAGUCAUGGACCCGGGAACAAUCCUCUCAUGGUCAAUGAUUACUAAGCCUCUACUAUGUUGGGGAUAACAGCAAUGACAAAGGAGCUUUGAGAAAAUUCUACCACUAUGUAGAAAGUGCUGAGGUGGAUGAAUGUGUAGGAGGAUUUCCAACCCUGAUGGGCCGGACACUUGCCUGUCAGUACUUGGCAUCAUUUCCAACACCUUCCAUGCUCUGCUUGAUAUUGCAGAUGCCAGAAGCAUGGAAACUUGUGUCCUCCACUCUCUUGCCAAUGGGAUUCCGAUGUACAGUCUGUUCUGAGAGCUCACAUGCAAGAUUUGGAAGAAGGAAGAGAAGUAGAAGCCAUUUUCACAGCGGCAGGUGGAACCACGGAUUUAGGUCGACAUGCAAAUUCACACAGAAACACCUGGUAAAAGAUGUUGAAAAAUGAAUAGAAGAAGAACCAGCAUCAGCCAGAGAUGGAUACAGUGUCUGAUGGGACCAGAGCCUUCCCUUUUGAGCAUAAAGGCAUCAAGAUGUUCUAAUGUAGUCACUGCUACUAAGGUCAGAAGAGACAGAGUUGAGCACCCAGCCUUGGAUGGCUCCUGGCAGUCUACCUGGGAAGUCACAGUUGAGCUGAAGUCUCUGGGGACACCAGCAAGUGCCUCUUGGGUCUUCUCUGUGAGAUGUGAUUUCAAGGGGCAUCACUACUACUGUGAGACAUCAGGACUCAUAGAGGAAAAAAGAUCCAUUCCUAGGACUAUGAAGAUGAAAGCCAAGUGCCAAGCUCUACUAGCAUUUCCUUAA